GCAAGACCGGUGCCAGCCGCCGCGGUAACACCGGCGGCUCGAGUGGUAACCGUUAUUAUUGGGUCUAAAGGGUCUGUAGCCGGCCGGAUAAGUCUCUUGAGAAAUCUGGCAGCUUAACUGUCAGGCUUUCAGGAGAUACUGUCUGGCUCGAGGCCGGGAGAGGUGAGAGGUACUUCGGGGGUAGGGGUGAAAUCUUGUAAUCCUUGAAGGACCACCAGUGGCGAAGGCGUCUCACCAGAACGGACCUGACGGCAAGGGACGAAAGCUAGGGGCACGAACCGGAUUAGAUACCCGGGUAGUCCUAGCCGUAAACGAUACUCGCUAGGUGUCGGCCACGGUGCGACCGUUGUCGGUGCCGUAGGGAAGCCGUGAAGCGAGC
rnacentral:rRNA from 1 species